rnacentral:rRNA from 1 species
UACAGAGGGGGCAAGCGUUGUUCGGAAUUACUGGGCGUAAAGGGCGCGUAGGCGGCCUUCUAAGUCGAACGUGAAAUCCCUGGGCUCAACCCAGGAACUGCGUCCGAUACUGGAAGGCUUGAAUCCGGGAGAGGGAUGCGGAAUUCCAGGUGUAGCGGUGAAAUGCGUAGAUAUCUGGAGGAACACCGGUGGCGAAGGCGGCAUCCUGGACCGGUAUUGACGCUGAGGAGCGAAAGCGUGGGGAGCGAACAGG